GUCUAGGGCUAUACCACCCUGAACGCACCCAAUCUCAUCUGAUCUUGGAAGGUAAGCAAGGUUGGGCCUGGUUACUACAUGGAUGGGAGAAUGCAGCUUCCGCUUUAAUCU
rnacentral:rRNA from 1 species